GCCACUGUAGCCACUGUCACUAUAGCCAAGAUCACUUUAAGUCACUCACCUUAGCCAGCACCCGUUCAUUGGUAUUCUUAAAGGUGACAUUGAGGAAGCAAGCGGCCGGGAACACGACGCAGAUCAGCACUCCUAUAGUGGAGCCCACCAGGCCCAGCACCAGCUCUAUGUUGGGGAUCAACAGGCUGAUGAACAGGGCUACUCCCACUAUACCCACUGUUAUACAACGGAAUGUGGUUUCCACCACACACUGUAGCUUCAGCCACUGUCAAUGUAGCCAGAACCACUGUAGACACUGUCACUAUAGCCAGAGCCACUGUAGCCACUGUCACUAUAGCCAGAGCCACUGUAGCCACUGUCACUAUAGCCAAGAUCACUUUAAGUCACUCACCUUAGCCAGCACCCGUUCAUUGGUAUUCUUAAAGGUGACAUUGAGGAAGCAAGCGGCCGGGAACACGACGCAGAUCAGCACUCCUAUAGUGGAGCCCACCAGGCCCAGCACCAGCUCUAUGUUGGGGAUCAACAGGCUGAUGAACAGAGCCACUCCCACUAUACCCACUGUUACACAGCGGAACCUGGU
rnacentral:lncRNA from 1 species